rnacentral:lncRNA from 1 species
AGCAACUAAGUGAAGAAAGGGGCUUACUUCAGCUGCUAAAUCCAGGUUACUGCCCAUCAUUGUGAAGUCAAGGCAGUGCCAGGCAAGCCAGGCACAUCACAUCUGCUGAGAGACACAAAAUGGCUUACAAACAUACAUCCUCUGCCUGCUGUGGUAACGUCCGUUGACAUUUGGAGGUGUGGUCACAGUUGCGACAUUCCUGCUUCUGCUGCCCACUGAGAACUUAAGAACAGGACAUGGAGAGCAGUGGCAGGAAAGCAACUUAAGGAAGAAAGGAUAAUUCUGACUUGGCUCAGGGUAUGGUCCAUCGUGGCAGCGGGUUCCAGCUCCAACAGCUUGAACUCUUGUCUUCAUCAACUUUGGAAGCCGAUAGGACAAGAACACUUUUGCAUUAUUCAGGAGGGGAGGUGAAAUCUGAGAGGGACUGACCAUAGGGUUCCACGUUUGAGCAUUGUCGCCCAACUGCAAACAUCGAGUUGGAGACAAACACUUUUUUCCUCCCUUUCUAUGUGUACCUUCUGGUUGCUUUUAGAAUUUUUAUGCAUUUGUUGUGUGAUCCGGC